GACGAACGCUGGCGGCGCGCUUAACACAUGCAAGUCGAACGAAGCGAUAAAGCGGAAACCUUCGGGAGGAAGCUAUAUUGACUGAGUGGCGGACGGGUGAGUAACGCGUGAGCAACCUAUCCUUUAGAGGGGGACAACUUUGAGAAAUCAAGGCUAAUACCGCGUAAGACCACAGCAGGGCAUCCUGCAGGGGUCAAAGGAGAAAUCCGCUAAAGGAGGGGCUCGCGUCCCAUUAGGUAGUUGGUGAGGUAACGGCUCACCAAGCCAGCGAUGGGUAGCCGUGCUGAGAGGCAGACCGGCCACACUGGAACUGAGACACGGUCCAGACUCCUACGGGAGGCAGCAGUGGGGAAUCUUGGGCAAUGGGGGAAACCCUGACCCAGCGACGCCGCGUGAGAGAAGAAGGCCUUCGGGUUGUAAAUCUCUGUGACAGGGGACGAAGAAGUGACGGUACCCUGAGAGGAAGCCCCGGCUAACUACGUGCCAGCCGCCGCAGUAAGAC
rnacentral:rRNA from 1 species